AAGUAGUUGGUGGUGAUGGGUUGAUUCUGGAAUGUGGGCGGCCUGGCUUGUGUGUCUUAUUCGUAAAAGUUGUUUGAGCGUUCAAUCGAGAAGAAAAGGAAGUAGUCUGAGCGGACAAAAUUUGUUGGCGGGGCAACUUGGGAUUGUCCUAAGAACGGGUGGAACCCUAAACCAAACGCAACCAAAAGAACCAAAAUCCG
rnacentral:lncRNA from 1 species